UGCUGGCAUUUGGUUUGAAUGAAGAUCUAGGCAGCAGCAAUGACAAAGGCUUAGGGACUCCGCAGCAGUGAAGGCUGAGGCGAAACGUCAAGGGGAGGCAUAGGGUGGGGGUGUCUUUGGACUUAGGUAAAUGGCUGUUGUGCUCCCUGCCCUGCCUGAGGGAGGGCAUCUCUCUGUGGGACCCUCUGCUUGUCUGCUGCUUUUCUUUUCUUACGUCUUCUAGUCCUGGAGUGAUUUUGGCAGCCAUACUGGAAGCUCCACUUCCAACUCUCCCUGUCACUACAUGCUCUGACUCCAGCAGACCCUGGGGCUCUCCACUAACGUUGGAAUUGAAUUUGGGGGCUGAAUUCACAAUGGCAACAACUGUCGCUGUUCAUCCCCUUAGAUGUUUUUCACACCAUGACCAGGCACAUAAAAUAUUUCCAAAUAGCAAUGGAUUGAUCACCUGUGAGUCUCUGGACCCCUGGGCACUUGAAACCUCUAAUUGUGGGAAAAUAGGCCAA
rnacentral:lncRNA from 1 species